UUUCUUUCUUUUUUUUCUCUCUUUUCUUUCUCUUUUUCUUUUCUUUCUCCUCCUCCUUUCUUCUAGCAGCCACCGAGACCCCCCUUCCUCGACCUUCAUCUCUCUCUCAACUCUCUGCCAUCGCUUUUCAGUCGUUGCCCUAGCCGCCGACACCCCGCACCAGUCGAUCAUGUUUCCACCCACACUGCACGAGAGACCCUUUGUCGAUCGUUCCAUCUCUCGUCCAUUCUGCCCACGUCAGCAUCGUCCGCUUCAGCACCACAGCCAGAUCUUCAAGCCAUGACAGAUCUGGUAGUCGCCAUCCAGCCUCUAGUCACGCCGCUCCACGUCGCUUCUCUAUUCUAGAUGACAUCAUCAUCACCCUAAGCCGCCAAGACCAUCCGCGUGCAGUUCCAGCUUCGUCUACUUCUAUCGCCGCCUCAGUGGACACCGGAAAACGUUUCCCAUCUGCAGUGAUUGUGUCCAUCACCGAUCUGUCAUUUUGGCUUUGGAUCAAGUUCUUGAAGGUGUUGAGGUGUCAUUCUUUGAAGUUAGAGAAUUUGAUUUGGGGAUUUGGAAUAUUUGGGGGCAUUGCUCAUCAAGAAAGGGACUAAUUUUUGGCAGAAUAUUGUUAAAAUUUGGUUGGCCAAUUGAAUUGAGUUUUGGAAUUUAUUUUAGACCAAGCCACAACUUUGGGCAUGAUUCAAGAUUCAUCUAAGCUAGGAGGAAAUCAAUUUGCUUGUAGCUUAGACAUAAUUUUGAGAGCCCAUACCUCCUGGAUUCUUGCUCCGAGAAUACCAAGGUUACUAAGUGGUGGUGUCUGAAAGGUUGCCUGUUCCUGGAGAAGUUUGUUCGCGAUUGACCAGACGGUUGGGUUGACGUUCUAAGCCACAGCGAGAGGUGUUGUUCCAAAGUCUUCACGAGAGCGAGAGGUCUGUGAAAGAAAAGUUCUUCAAAUGUAUGUCUCUCGUCUUCUUUUGUAUUUAUUUACUAAAGCAUGCCGUAAUUUGUUAGAAUAUGCAUAAUUGGUUUGUAUGUUUGUGAAUGCUUGUAAUUCUGUCACAAUGAAUUUGGAAUGAUCUUGCUUCCGCUCAUGUGUUCUCUUUAAUAAGAGAUUCUUCACCUUAGCCACCAAGGAGCGCACAAAUAUCUUCAGCUCUAAUUUGGCCUCUUUCUCAGCCACCAAGACCAAGGAGGAUACAAAUUUCUUUAGUUUUAAUUUAGCUUAUUCCUCAGCCACCAAGGCCAAGGAGGGCACAAAUCUUUUUCUAAACCUUCAGAGGCUCUAUCUCAUGGGUGAUUGGAUUUCACCUCGGCCUCUUUCCUCAUACGUUGCUUCUCUAUCAUUGGUUUUCUCAAGUAAGUUUCGAGAGUUAUUCAAUUUUCUAUUUUCUACUAUCCUAGAUUCCACCUCAGCUCGCCCUCGGUGGUGCCUCAAAUCGGCUUCAACUUGGCCUCGGCUCUCUAUAGAUAAGGCUUAAUUCUUUUCCAGAUCUGCAAUUUUCUCCUCUGCCUUUUCCCUUGGGGUCCAAGGUCGGGACGGGUUCUAAAUAAACUAAUUAUUCCCUGAUCGACUUGUAACCUUUCGAGGUUGCCUAUCUUGGUCAGAAAUGCUACUUCCUUGUUGGCUCAUUCUUUCCUUAUUCACCGAUGUAUUACAGAUUCUUUGCAGAUUACACGCGUUCCCCACGAACGGUGCCAACUGUUGAUGGUAAAAUCCGGCCAAGCAAACUCACCUGACUUUGACGUGUCACCAACGGUAAAAUUAUAAUUUGAAGAAGAGGUUACUUGCAAAACAAUUAGAAAAAUAACACAACAAUGUGGGUGUUUUCCAUAGACACUCCAAUGUUUUAAGUCGAUAUUUGUACAAAGAUCAAGGUAAGUAGUUUUUAGGGAGAGUUGGACUUACCUUUUGCAUGACUAUCAUGCUCUAUUUAUAAUGAAGUUCAGGGGUCUUCCUUGUCCCUUUAGGAUUUGAUAUCUACUUCCUUUUCUUAUUUGAAAUCUAGACACUCAGAGUUGGAUUUGCCACUAGGGAUGUUCCAAAAUUGAGGCCCAGUCCAGAUCGGCCACUUGUGAGGGAUCUACUAGGCUUAGCCUCGGUCAGACUCUGCCUUAGUCUCUGAGGCCGAGGGGGGCCUACUGACCAUUGAGGCCCAACUAGCCUCGGCCUGCUGAGGCCCAAUUGGCCUCCACCUCAACCUCUGAGACCCAGUCUCCCUAUUUGUUAAGAACUCUAUCAGACCCGUUUCCUUAGGUCAUAUUACUUGUUUGGUGUGUUGUGGCCUAGGCGCUGAGACGUCAUUGGCAGCUAUUUCAAAACGGCCAUUGAGAGUCUAUUGGCUGCAACAUUUCUUCUUUUUGACUUCAAAGCGCCCAACAUGCCCAAUUGCCUCAAUAUUUUCAUCAAAACAUCCAAGUUGCUCCAAAUGCUCAAAAUCCACAAUUUAAUACGAAUAAUCUCAUGAAAUUCAUUAUUUUAACCUCAAAACUAGCAUAAAAUAAGUCCUAGGGAUAGAAAACAAAAACUUGUUAAUUUAUAAUACUUUUAAAGAUAUCUCUAUCAAUAUUUUCAUAGACAUUUUUAUCAUCACAAGAUGAUGAACAUAUAAAACUUUAAGAAUAAAACCAAAAAUAUUUUUUCCUCUUUAUUUCGAAUUUUGGACAAUUCAGAAUGAUCGAGUUAUUUCUAUUGUUUUAAUAAGUGCAUGCAUGCUCCUUUUUUCACCAAAUGCUAAACUUUUAUUUACUUCUUAGUUUAGUGAGUAGUCAUGUUCAACUAUUAUUAUUUACUUCAAUCGAAGAUUCAUAUAGUGCCAUUCGUAUAGAACUGAUGCCUUUUUUUUGUUCAGAUACCUUCUUCCGUUGUUCCUCUGUUAUUAAUGAGGACUUAAAAGAAUUUUGGAAUUUUUGGUUUGGUGGUUCAAUAAAUUCUUUUUUAUUAGUAUUUUAAAAAAAGUAUUCCCAUGCAUUUAUAUAGUUAUGUACUUCUAUUGAUAAUUCAAAUAUGUUAAAAUCAAAUUAAUAAUUUAAUUAACAAAAUAAUUAAAAACCUUCCAAUUUUAAGAAUGAAACCAAUACCACCCAGAGUAAUAUUUGGUUGCACUCAUUAUAUGAAUAAUAUCAUUAAAAAUAUUAGAAAAUACAUAACUUUGUAUACAUGAGAGAAUGAGUUCAAUAACUUUACAUUGUCUCCUUAGGACAAUUUUAAUCACUCUCGUGCUCGAGUUUCGUGAGUAAUUAUCUCUCAAGAUAGAACAAAUUAUCUUUCUUAUGGAAGCAAGACCUUGUUCACAUGAUCCAACGAACUAUGCUUAGUAGAAAUAAAUUAAACUUGAACAAAUUUAUAAAAGAGAGAAAUUUUAUGGUUGUGAAAAAUUUUAAAAUGCAAUUUGAAGAAGAGAUAUAAUAAUAAACUAAUUCGUGGUCAUUCGAAUAGUCGUGUCUCUUCUUCAAUGCAACUCAUAGAAAUAAAAUGAUGCAACCCCACACGAAUAAUCACAUACCAUUUAUUCCAACAAUCCCCCAAAAAUAGUCAGUUGACAAUUUAAGAUAAAAGGAAAAAGAAAACAUGCAGUAUUUUCCUAAUGAAGAAUCUACUUCAGGAUAAGUAGUAAAACUUUGAACUUUCCCUAGUGAACAUUAAUCGAGUUUACUUGGUUAAUCAGUGGACUUGAUAUCUUGAACUGACAAUUGUCUAGAGUAAACUAACAUAAUAGAAGUCACACAAUUUCUCAUUCUAACAAAACUAGUUCUCAUAAUUAUGUUCAUUUUGGCCUUGAAUACCACCUGGUCUCAUGAGCGUUUCAGAUAAUUCACCUUAAAAAUUCUCAUUGAAGAAAAAUUCUCAUUGAAGCAGCCUCUUCACACUCACAUAGGUUAUUCCUAAAGAACAUCAUGUGCACUUUUUUCAUCAAUAAUUAUUCAACCACUUAUAAAAAUCAUUAAAAGCAUAAUGCUUACCCUAAAACCACACUUGCACUAUCUCGUUAUCCUUAGAAUGGGUCAAAAUUAAAAACUUUAAUGCAGUGCUCAUUAUGUUAUCGAAGGAUCGGUUGGUCCGUUAAACCAAGAUCUUGGGAUCUCCAGUCAACUAGGUUGGGUUGCUUCUUUGGUUAAAUUUUUAAAAUUCAAGAUUUUAAUCUCAUUCUCCUUGAUGAACUUUUCAAACAACUCUCUAAUUAGGCCUUUAGAUAGUGAAUUUGCAAUAUUAUCUUUUGAUCUUACAAUGUAAAUUGUGAUAAUUCCACAAAAAAAAAUACACUACAAGAAAAAGAAGCUCCCUCGAUGCCUAAAUCUGCCAUCGAGAGCUCGGUCGCCAGGAGAUAGGGUCUCUCCCGACGACGUAAAGCAACUUCCGACGAUGUAAGGGCUCAUCGAGAGUUCCUAAGGAACUCCCAAUGAUUAAAUCACUGCAUCAGGAGAUAAGACCUAUCUCCCGAUGUGCUAAUUUAAUCAUCGGACGGAGUUCCUAACGGUCAUCGAUAGCCUUCAGGAGAUCUGAUCUGGUAUAUACCCAGAUCGCAGCCUCCCUUCUUCCCCAUUUACCCCAAUCUAAAACCCUAGCAUGUCGCCGCCUGCCUUGCCGUUCGCCUGUCGUCGCCGCUCGCUGCUGUUGUCGUCGUCGUUCAUGUCUCUUCGUCGUUGCCUGCCGUCUCCGCUCGCGUCUCUUCGCAUGCCUUGUCGUUCGCCAUCCUUUGCCAUUCACAGAUCUCUAGUCGUCCGCCAUUCGCAGAUCUCCGCUUGUCUUUCGUUCAUUUCCUUUUGUGUGCCUUCGUUGUUCGCAGAUCUCUGUCGUUUAUUUCGUAGAUCUUCGUCGUUCACCUGUCGUCCGCUGCUCCGGUGUCCUUUGCAAGCUUUCAACAGGAUGUUAUUCGGAGAUGAGGUUGGACGAUUAUUCAAGAUGCUGUGUUCCAGACGUUGUUUUCUUUUCUGUAUUUAUUGACAUUGUUUUCAUUUUAUUUCUUCCAUGUAUUUCUUUCUUUUAUUUAGUAUCGACUUUGUUUUAUUGUAGGAUCAUGUAACUUUUCAUUUAUUUAUUGUAG